rnacentral:lncRNA from 1 species
UGCUGUCUUGUUGAUCUGUCUAAUGUUGACAGUGGGGUGUUAAAAUCUCCCAUUAUUAUUGUGUGGGAGUCUAAGUCUCUUUGUAGGUCACUCAGGACUUGCUUUGUGAAUCUGGGUGCUCCUGUAUUGGGUGCAUAUAUGGCCCCCACUCUCUUCUGGCUUGUACAGUUUCUGCCAAGAGAUCUGCUGUUAGUCUGAUGGGCUUCCCUUUGUGGGUAACCCGACCUUUCUCUCUGGCUGCCCUUAACAAUUUUUCCUUCAUUUCAACUUUGGUGAAUCUGACAAUUAUGUGUCUUGGAGUUGCUCUGUUCAUAUUCCUUGCUCACUUUUUGAUGGGGUUGUUUGUUUUUUCUUGUAAAUUUGUUUAAAUUCUAGAUAUUAGCCCUUUGUCAGAUGGGUAAAUUGAAAAAUGUUUUUCGUAUUCUGUAGGUUGCCUGUUCACUCUGAUGAUAGUUUUUUUUGGCUGUGCAGCAGCUGUUUAGUUUAAUUAGAUCCCAUUAGUCAAUUUUGUGUUUUG